AGUGAACGCUGGCGGUAGGCCUAACACAUGCAAGUCGAACGGCAGCACAGUAAGAGCUUGCUCUUACGGGUGGCGAGUGGCGGACGGGUGAGGAAUACAUCGGAAUCUACUUUUUCGUGGGGGAUAACGUAGGGAAACUGACGCUAAUACCGCAUACGACCUACGGGUGAAAGCAGGGGAUCUUCGGACUUUGCGCGAUUGAAUGAGCCGAUGUCGGAUUAGCUAGUUGGCGGGGUAAAGGCCCACCAAGGCGACGAUCCGUAGCUGGUCUGAGAGGAUGAUCAGCCACACUGGAACUGAGACACGGUCCAGACUCCUACGGGAGGCAGCAGUAGGGAAUAUUGGACAAUGGGCGAAAGCCUGAUCCAGCAAUGCCGCGUGGGUGAAGAAGGCCUUCGGGUUGUAAAGCUCUUUUGUUGGGAAAGAAAAGCAGCAGGUUAAUACCUCGCUGUUCUGACGGUACCCAAAGAAUAAGCCCCGGCUAACUUCGUG
rnacentral:rRNA from 1 species